rnacentral:lncRNA from 1 species
AAGAAUUUUUUUUUCUUUAAAUAUCAUUCAUCAAAGACACAUUUAAUCCUGUUAGUUCUGCAUGCGAUUUAAAAAAAUUGUUCUGGUAAUACUCUGUUCAACACUACAAGUAAUUCUGCAUCAAGAGAAAGCUCCAAAUAUUCUAACAACCAUUCAGCAUUUCCAAUGAUCUUAGAUCCACGCUUGGUGCGAAAACUGAAAACGAGAGAAAGGAAACGCUGUGGCCAGGUCCAUCUGAUACUGUGAAAUAUUUCUUAUCUUGAUUUUCUCCUGGAUAAGAUCCUGGAGCUUGGUGAGAAGUGUAAUGUGUAGGGGUUCUAAAAGCCAGAGGCCUUGCUAAAUUUAGAUUUGGUUCUUGCUUAUGUAAUUUUCCCUGUGUUUUCAAUUAUUUAUACAAAUAUAUUAUUUAUAUAUGUCUGGAACUUGUGCUUUUAGCACUCAAUAAGCAGGAAUAAUUUAUAGGAUUACGGAGUGCUUCCUGUCCUUACCUUUCAGAGUAUGUUCUUUUGCAUUGUUAAUUAAUUGUUAUAUUUCAGCCUUCCUUUCCCAGCAGUCUUGUGGUGGUGCUUAACUAGUCAGAGAGAUAGGAUCUAUAUUUAUCAUCAUAUGCAUGUUCCAAAAUCCAGGUUAAUUAUUUUAUUAGCCAUUCCUCUAGCCUAGCUACCCAUUGCGGGGAGGGGGCUGCGUGUCGGUGGCAUGACCCAACAGGUCAUGUUCCUUAAGUACAGUGAGAGCCUGCUGAAAGAGGAAGCCAGCUUCCAGGCCUAAAUGGAAGUUGCCUGUGCUUCAGGUUUCUUUUUUGCCUCCACUUUCCAAAAACAAUCUAGUUCUUGACCUAUCCUUUUCUCCACCCUCCCUCAACACCUUUUUUCCUCUGCUGCCUUGCACUGGCCUCAGGCACCUACCCAGGCUCCUGACCAUGGGUCUGGAUUUGGGCUACUGCUAGAGACGCUGCCUGAUUUUUGCCCUUGUCUCUCUACAGUGCUCCCUUCCAGUUGUUCCCCACGUCUGGCCCUCCUUUUCCUUGGUUCUCACCUUGUCUUGGAUUUCAGAGAUUCAGGCCCUGCAACACACAGGACUGGAUGACAGCUGCUCAGAGUCAACCUGGCACAUACCCCAGAGUGGUGCUUGCAUGUAAGGAGGCCUAGGCACUCUGGGAAUCGAAGGCCUGAAAGUGGCUCCACUGGCUGAGGGCUGGGCAAGGUAGCAGCGCAACAUCUACUUCUGCCUUUUUCUCCACAGUCUCCUCAGUAUUCCCUGGAGCAAAUGGAGAGAGGUGUUGGUUGUUUCCCCCUGAGGCUGGAGUAUAUUGCUGUCUAAUCAUAGGUUUCAGAAGAGUAAAUAUAGUGAGAUACAUAAACUUUCCCUCUGUGAAAAGGAGGACAGAGAUUUACAAACUGAGGUGUGUUUUUUGGCUACUGUCAUUUAAAGGCAUGAGGCUGGCUGGGUGCGGUGCCUCAUGCCAGUAAUCCCAGCA